rnacentral:rRNA from 1 species
GGCCUAUUGAUUUUUUAAUAGGUCUGGCCUGCCCAGUGAUAAUUUUAACGGCCGCGGUAUAUUGACCGUGCAAAGGUAGCAUAAUCAUUAGUCUUUUAAUAGAAGGCUGGAAUGAAAGGUCUAACGAGAAAUUAACUGUCUCAAUUACAAAUUUGAAUUUAUCUUUUAAGUCAAAAGACUUAAAUUUAAUUGGUGGACGAGAAGACCCUAUAGAGCUUAACAAUUUUUUUUAUAUAUUUAUUUAGAUUAAAAUUAUUUAUUUAUAUUUAAGAAUUUGUUUUGUUGGGGUGACAAUAAAUAUAUACUUAACUUUUAUUAUAACGUAAACAUUAAUUUAUGAUUUUUGGAUCCAGAAUUUUUGACCAUUAGAUUAAGUUACC